rnacentral:tRNA from 2 species
GGACGGGUAGCUCAGUUGGUAGAGCACAGGAUUGAAAAUCCUGGUGUCACGGGUUCGAUUCCCGUCCUGUCCA